AUGAACGCUGGCGGCGUGCCUAAUACAUGCCAGUCGAGCGCACAGACGAGGAGCUUGCUCCUCUGACGUUAGCGGCGGACGGGUGAGUAACACGUGGAUAACCUACCUAUAAGACUGGGAUAACUUCGGGAAACCGGAGCUACUACCGGAUAAUAUAUUGAACCGCAUGGUUCAAUAGUGAAAGACGGUUUUGCUGUCACUUAUAGAUGGAUCCGCGCCGCAUUAGCUAGUUGGUAAGGUAACGGCUUACCAAGGCAACGAUGCGUAGCCGACCUGAGAGGGUGAUCGGCCACACUGGAACUGAGACACGGUCCAGACUCCUACGGGAGGCAGCAGUAGGGAAUCUUCCGCAAUGGGCGAAAGCUUGACGGAGCAACGCCGCGUGAGUGAUGAAGGUCUUCGGAUCGUAAAACUCUGUUAUUAGGGAAGAACAAAUGUGUAAGUAACUAUGCACGUCUUGACGGUACCUAAUCAGAAAGCCACGGCUAACUACGUG
rnacentral:rRNA from 1 species